rnacentral:rRNA from 1 species
AACGAACGCUGGCGGCAUGCCUAACACAUGCAAGUCGAACGAGACCUUCGGGUCUAGUGGCGCACGGGUGCGUAACGCGUGGGAACCUGCCCUUAGGUUCGGAAUAACUCCCCGAAAGGGGUGCUAAUACCGGAUAAUGUCUUCGGACCAAAGAUUUAUCGCCUUUGGAUGGGCCCGCGUUGGAUUAGCUAGUUGGUAGGGUAAAAGCCUACCAAGGCGACGAUCCAUAGCUGGUCUGAGAGGAUGAUCAACCACACUGGGACUGAGACACGGCCCAGACUCCUAUGGGAGGCAGCAGUGGGGAAUAUUGGACAAUGGGCGAAAGCCUGAUCCAGCAAUGCCGCGUGAGUGAUGAAGGCCUUAGGGUUGUAAAGCUCUUUUACCCGGGAUGAUAAUGACAGUACCGGGAGAAUAAGCGCCGGCUAACUCCGUG